GUGCUCACUUCUUGAGCACAUAAACUAAAAUUGGAACAACACAGAGAAGAUUAGCAUGGUCCCUGCUCAAGGAUGACACACAAAUUCGUGAAGCGUUCCAUAUUUUU
rnacentral:snRNA from 1 species